AUUGAACGCUGGCGGCACGCUUAACACAUGCAAGUCGAACGGCAGCACAGCUUAGCUUGCUAAGUGGGUGGCGAGUGGCGGACGGGUGAGUAACGCGUAGGAAUAUACCUUAAAGAGGGGGAUAACUUGGGGAAACUCAAGCUAAUACCGCAUAAGCUCUGAGGAGUAAAGCUGGGGACCUUCGGGCCUGGCGCUUUAAGAUUAGCCUGCGUCCGAUUAGCUAGUUGGCGGGGGUAAGGGCCCACCAAGGCGACGAUCGGGAGCUGGUCUGAGAGGAUGACCAGCCACACUGGGACUGAGACACGGCCCAGACUCCUACGGGAGGCAGCAGUGGGGAAUAUUGGACAAGGGGGGAAACCCUGAUCCAGCAAUGCCGCGUGUGUGAAGAAGGCCUGAGGGUUGUAAAGCACUUUCAGUGGGGAGGAGGGUUGAUAGGUUAAGAGCUAGUUAACCGGACGUUACCCACAGAAGAAGCACCGGCUAACUCCGUGCCAGCAGCCGCCGUAAAAC
rnacentral:rRNA from 1 species